rnacentral:rRNA from 1 species
UACGUAGGUGGCAAGCGUUGUCCGGAAUUAUUGGGCGUAAAGCGCUUGCAGGUGGUUCGUCGCGUCGUGCGUGAAAGACCCCGGCUCAACUGGGGAGGGUCGUGCGAUACGGGCGGACUGGAGGCCAGUAGGGGGAUGCGGAAUUCCGGGUGUAGUGGUGGAAUGCGUAGAGAUCCGGAGGAACACCAGCGGCGAAGGCGGCAUCCUGGACUGGUCCUGACACUCAGGAGCGAAAGCGUGGGGAGCGAUCCGG